CCGGGGCUCAACCUCGGAACCGCAUUUGAAACUGGCAGGCUAGAGUCUUGUAGAGGGGGGUAGAAUUUCAGGUGUAGCGGUGAAAUGCGUAGAGAUCUGAAGGAAUACCAGUGGCGAAGGCGGCCCCCUGGACAAAGACUGACGCUCAGAUGCGAAAGCGUGGGUAGCAAACAGGAUUAGAUACCCUGGUAGUCCACGCCGUAAACGCUGUCUACUUGGAGGUUGAGGUUUAAGACUUUGGCUUUCGGCGCUAACGCAUUAAGUAGACCGCCUGGGGAGUACGGCCGCAAGGUUAAAACUCAAAUGAAUUGACGGGGGCCCGCACAAGCGGUGGAGCAUGUGGUUUAAUUCGAUGCAACGCGAAGAACCUUACCUACUCUUGACAUCCAGAGAACUUUCCAGAGAUGGAUUGGUGCCUUCGGGAACUCUGAGACAGGUGCUGCAUGGCUGUCGUCAGCUCGUGUUGUGAAAUGUUGGGUUAAGUCCCGCAACGAGCGCAACCCUUAUCCUUGUUUGCCAGCACGUAAUGGUGGGAACUCCAGGGAGACUGCCGGUGAUAAACCGGAGGAAGGUGGGGACGACGUCAAGUCAUCAUGGCCCUUACGAGUAGGGCUACACACGUGCUACAAUGGCAGAUACAGAGGGCAGCGAAGCUGCGAAGUGGAGCGAAUCCCUUAAAGUUUGUCGUAGUCCGGAUUGGAGUCUGCAACUCGACUCCAUGA
rnacentral:rRNA from 1 species